GAUGAACGCUGGCGGCGUGCCUAAUACAUGCAAGUCGAGCGAACAGACGAGGAGCUUGCUCCUCUGACGUUAGCGGCGGACGGGUGAGUAACACGUGGAUAACCUACCUAUAAGACUGGGAUAACUUCGGGAAACCGGAGCUAAUACCGGAUAAUAUAUUGAACCGCAUGGUUCAAUAGUGAAAGACGGUUUUGCUGUCACUUAUAGAUGGAUCCGCGCCGCAUUAGCUAGUUGGUAAGGUAACGGCUUACCAAGGCGACGAUGCGUAGCCGACCUGAGAGGGUGAUCGGCAACACUGGAACUGAGACACGGUCCAGACUCCUACGGGAGGCAGCAGUAGGGAAUCUUCCGCAAUGGGCGAAAGCCUGACGGAGCAACGCCGCGUGAGUGAUGAAGGUCUUCGGAUCGUAAAACUCUGUUAUUAGGGAAGAACAAAUGUGUAAGUAACUAUGCACGUCUUGACGGUACCUAAUCAGAAAGCCACGGCUAACUACGUG
rnacentral:rRNA from 1 species